rnacentral:misc_RNA from 1 species
GAUGAAGAACGUAGCGAAAUGCGAUAAGUAGUGUGAAUUGCAGAAUUCAGUGAAUCAUCGAAUCUUUGAACGCACAUUGCGCCCCUUGGUAUUCCAUGGGGCAUGCCUGUUCGAGCGUCAUUUGUACCUUCAAGCUCUGCUUGGUGUUGGGUGUUUGUCCUUGCUCUAGUGGCGGGACUCGCCUUAAAGUAAUUGGCAGCCAGUGUUUUGGUUUUGAAGCGCAGCACAAGUCGCGAUUCAAGUCUAUACGCUAGUUUCCACAAGUCUUUUAUCACUUUUGACCUCGGAUCAGGUAGGGAUACCCGCUGAACUUAAGCAUAUCAAUAACGGAGGA